rnacentral:ncRNA from 2 species
CGCAGUUCACCGGAGUGUCCGCAAGCCUAUGCGGGCUGAGACUGGAGGCUUGAAGCCGCCUCCUAAAACCGCCGAACCUGAUCCGGGUCAUGCCGGCGAAGGGAGAUGGAUACGCUAUGGCC